rnacentral:piRNA from 1 species
UGUACACUUCUGGUGGAGGUUUGGCCCA